rnacentral:misc_RNA from 1 species
UAUGGAGACAGAAAUAUAUUGCUGAAAAAUAAUCGAGCAAGUGCAGCUUUAUUGCCAGAAACUAAACACUGCGCUUUAGGUAGUUUUUUUAGAGUGAAUUUACGUUUUUAAAAACAAAACUCCAUAAGGGUUGGAAUCCAGUAGAAAAGUUUGAGCUCUGCGUGCAUACUGCUUUUGCCAGAUGGUCUAUAAGCCCAUGAACAUCGGCUAGCAAGAAGAGAACCCAGAAACCCACAGUAUGAUCCAGUUUCUUGCUUGGGCACUAUUAUUCAUAACUAUCGCCUGUCAUGAAGGACACGGGAACCAAGUGGAAGUACCAAGUGGCCAUAGUACAUGCCGAUAUUUACAUUUGCAUACGCCUGCCGGAAAUACUGUUUCUCCUACAGGCUUUUAUGGCAUGAAGUGUGGUGUCAAUUAUACGUGCAAAUUAGGCUUAUGUGACGAACAAGACAAGUGUAAUCCUUCGAAUCUUUUUGUCGGAUGCUGGAAAGAAGCAGAUCCACAAAUAGCGCAUUCGCAAGUUCAAUCAUUUGGGUGCCCAGACUAAACUUGCGCCCCACAUAUAUGAAUUUUGCAGGGAUUUAAUAAAACGACUUCAAUCAACUUCUA